ensembl:snRNA U1 U1 spliceosomal RNA
AUACCUACCUGGCCAGGGAGAUACCAUGCUGAUGAAGGUGCUUUUCCCAGUGCGAGGCUCAUCCAUUGCACUCCGGAUGUGCUGACUCUUGCAAUUUACCCAAAUGUAGGAAACUCGACUUCAUAAUUUGUGGUAGUGGGAGACUGCAUCUGCACUUUUCCU